GGCGGGGCCGCGUAGCGCUGGUCUCUGCGCGGGGGCGGAGCGGGACCCGAGCGCUCCGCCCAGCUAGGGGUGGUCCCCGACCAGCCCCGCCCACUCCGGGCCUGGGCGCUGCUCGCCGUAGCUGACUCGGAAUGGGCUCCGCCUAGGCGGGAGGCGGAAGGUUCGAAUCCCAGCAGCCCCUGGCCUGCUCCUUUGGACGUCUCCGGUCUGAGGUGGCGGUGGGUGUCACCCUAAGCAGGAUUGCGCAAUUCAAGAAAUUGCUUUAUUCAAACCCAACUAAACUUUCCGGAAAGCAGAGCCCCCUGGGGUUUCUGGGUGGGAACACAACUUCUGCUGGGGGGCAACUCAAGUAAUCAUCUUCAGAGAUUACAGUCAACACUAGAAAGAUUUCCUUGAAUAAAGGGGAAAAUUGGGGUGAAAAACCCAGAAAGUGUACAAGGCAUUGUGAACAUCACACACCCUUUGUUUAGAGAGGGUGCACCCAAGGCUCAGUGUGUCUUUCUUGUUCUGGCCUAAACCACAGCCCCAGAGUAAUAAUUAAUGACCCACCUUAUGGACUUUUUAUUCCAGGUAAUGGGAAAGGUGAAAGGUUCUGACCCAAGAAAACUCACCUAUACCCCAGGAAACUGAACAGUUGGCACUUCCUCAUUACAUGUGUUCCUUCCAGAUAUUAUCCAACACUGUCUUCAUAACCAAAUUUAAUUAAGUUAACUGUAGGCUUAGAUUUUAACCAUUAUAACAGUCUCUUAAAACUAAUCAGCCAGAUCCAGUGGUGCAGACCUGUAAUCCCAGUUACUCAGGAGGCUGAGGCAGAUGGAUCCCAAACUGGAGACCUGCCUGGGCUAUUUAGCAAGGCCCUCCCUUAGAAUAUAAUGUUAAAAGGGCAGGGUGUGUGGCUCAGUGGUAGGGGACUUGCCAGGUUGCAUGAGGCCCUGAGUUUGAUCCAUAACACUGCAAGAACAAAAAAGUAACCCUUCAGCAGUGGUGCAGGUCUGUAAUCCCAGUGACUCAGGCAGGAGGAUUGCAGUUCAAAGUCAGCCUCAGCAAUUUAGCGAAGCCCUAAGCAACUCAAUGAGACCCUGUCUCUAAAUAAAAUACAAAAAGGGCUAGAGAUGUGCCUCAGUAGUCGAGUGCUCCAGAGUUCAAUCCCUGGCACCAAAGAAAAAAAGACAAAAACUAACCCUUCAAACUAGAGCCAAAGCCAGUUUCUUUGAAAUUUAAGUUUCUAAGAGGCCAAAAGGGCUGUGACUGUCUAUCUGCCCACACCACUCCUCUCAUCUUUGUGGUUGCAGAAUUCUCUGCCUAAUAUCUAUUUUUUUAAGACAAUUUCUCCACAAGCACCACCACCAUUUGCCAUUGGUACUAUACUAGUUAUUGUUAGAAAGAAGUUGAAAAUAAAAACCUUUAUGAGGGAAUAAAGAGGAGUUAGGUUGAAAUUAAACUAUUCAUUUCUAUUUUCAAUCUCAGCAGUUCCUUAGCACAUUAAUGAUUAAUCAAUGGGAAUUAACCUGGAUUAGCUUUCUAUGCUCAUUUUCUUCAGUGAACCCUGGCUUGAAAUAAAUUCAAGAAUUCCAACUUCUGGCUGGCAAUUACUACCAACUGGUCUUACUUUACCACAGAUAAGCCAUUUAACCUCUCUGAACAUCGAUGUAUUUAUUGUAGGACAGUCACUUUCUUCUGGGUUUUAGGGAAGAAAUUCAUUCAUUCAUGGAUGUUUGUUGAGAGACUGGGAUAGAGCAGGCAGCCCAGAGUAAUACAUAGAUCCAGUAAAGACCCAACUGCCCAGGGGCCUGUUCCCGUGUAGGAGCCUCCUUUAUUUUGUUCACUGUUUAAGUUUUCCCAGCAGAUCCUGGCACAAGGAUAUGGUUCAAAAUUUCAAUUGUUUCUUACUAUUCAAAGGAGAUUUGGUAUCCAGGACCACCACUCACAGAUGUAAAAAAAUCUGAAGAUGCUCAAGUCUCAUCUAAAAUGGCAUAGUAUAUUCAUAUUUCCUACAUGCAUCCUUCCAUACAUGUUAAAUCAUCUCUAGAUUACUUAUAAUAUCUAAUAAAAUGCAAAUAUGAUA
rnacentral:lncRNA from 1 species